AUUGAACGCUGGCGGCAGGCCUAACACAUGCAAGUCGAACGGUAACAGGAAGAAGCUUGCUUCUUUGCUGACGAGUGGCGGACGGGUGAGUAAUGUCUGGGAAACUGCCUGAUGGAGGGGGAUAACUACUGGAAACGGUAGCUAAUACCGCAUAACGUCGCAAGACCAAAAAGGGGGACCUUCGGGCCUCUUGCCAGCGGAUGUGCCCAGAUGGGAUUAGCUAGUAGGUGGGGUAACGGCUCACCUAGGCGACGAUCCCUAGCUGGUCUGAGAGGAUGACCAGCCACACGGGAACUGUGACACGGUCCGGACGCCUACGGGAGGCAGCAGUGGGGAAUAUUGGACAAUGGGCGCAAGCCUGAUCCAGCCAUACCGCGUGUGUGAAGAAGGCCUUCGGGUUUUAAAGCCCUUUUGUUGGGAAAGAAAAGCAGCAGGUUAAUACCCCGCUGUUCUGACGGUACCCAAAGAAUAAGCACCGGCUAACUUCGUG
rnacentral:rRNA from 1 species